rnacentral:rRNA from 1 species
GAUGAACGCUGGCGGCGUGCUUAACACAUGCAAGUCGAACGGUGAAGGCGGAGCUUGCUCUGCUGGAUCAGUGGCGAACGGGUGAGUAACACGUGAGCAAUCUGCCCCUGACUCUGGGAUAAGCGCUGGAAACGGCGUCUAAUACUGGAUACGAGCUGCGAAGGCAUCUUCAGCAGCUGGAAAGAACUUCGGUCAGGGAUGAGCUCGCGGCCUAUCAGCUUGUUGGUGAGGUAACGGCUAACCAAGGCUUCGACGGGUAGCCGGCCUGAGAGGGUGACCGGCCACACUGGGACUGAGACACGGCCCAGACUCCUACGGGAGGCAGCAGUGGGGAAUAUUGCACAAUGGGCGAAAGCCUGAUGCAGCAACGCCGCGUGAGGGAAGACGGCCUUCGGGUUGUAAACCUCUUUUAGCAGGGAAGAAGCGAAAGUGACGGUACCUGCAGAAAAAGCGCCGGCUAACUACGUG